CAGCAGCUCCCAGGACAAGUCUGGAACGCCCCAGCGAGGGAAGCCGAGGGGUCUCUCAGAAUCACAGCUGCAGGGGCAGAGUGCUGUCCACCUGUGAUCCCAGCCCUCAGAAGGUGCCGGCCGAAGGACUAGGAGUUCAGAUGAUCGUCAGCCAUACAGUACACUGCACCUGGAAGAGAGGCGCAUCUUGAGUGGAGUUGCGUGGCAGCAUACAGAGCGUGAGAGGGGGGUCCACGGCGAGGCGAGCACCAGGAAACUGAGCUUCCUACUUCUCUUCCCGUUGAAGCGUUGUAGGUCAUGAGGCUUAUACAACAUUCCAUACAGUGUAAAUCCAGUAGUACUUUCAAAAGAAAAAAUUUCUGGAGGGGUGUAGUCAGGAAGAGGACCUAUGGGUAGCAACAGAGCCAUAAAGAAGUUCUCAGAGGAACCGUGCAACCUGAAGUCCAAGAAGGAAGUUUCAAGACUCAGUUCCCCACCCACCAACAACUACUAUCCCCCUCUCAGAUGAUCAGUGGUGUCACAGAGUCAGGAACUGACUCUAUAAGUCUCUGUCUGUCCAUGGCAUCAUCUUCUACUGGGAUGAAUAACUCAGGGGAG
rnacentral:lncRNA from 1 species